UACAGAGGGGGCAAGCGUUGUUCGGAAUUACUGGGCGUAAAGGGCGCGUAGGCGGCCUUCUAAGUCGAACGUGAAAUCCCCGGGCUCAACCCGGGAACUGCGUCCGAUACUGGAAGGCUUGAAUCCGGGAGAGGGAUGUGGAAUUCCGAGGUGUAGCGGUGAAAUGCGUAGAUAUCUGGAGGAACACCGGUGGCGAAGGCGACAUCCUGGGACCGGUAUUGACGCUGAGGCGCGAAAGCCAGGGGAGCAAAGCGGG
rnacentral:rRNA from 1 species